GCAGUCGAGCGACAGAUAAGGAGCUUGCUCCUUUGACGUUAGCGGCGGACGGGUGAGUAACACGUGGGUAACCUACCUAUAAGACUGGGAUAACUUCGGGAAACCGGAGCUAAUACCGGAUAACAUUUGGAACCGCAUGGUUCUAAAGUGAAAGAUGGUUUUGCUAUCACUUAUAGAUGGACCCGCGCCGUAUUAGCUAGUUGGUAAGGUAACGGCUUACCAAGGCGACGAUACGUAGCCGACCUGAGAGGGUGAUCGGCCACACUGGAACUGAGACACGGUCCAGACUCCUACGGGAGGCAGCAGUAGGGAAUCUUCCGCAAUGGGCGAAAGCCUUGAACGGGAGGCAACGCCGGCGGUGGAGGUGGAUGAAGGGGUUUUCGGCUCGUAAAACUCCUGUUAUUAGGGRAGAACAAAUGUGUAAGUAACUGUGCACGUCUUGACGGUACCUAAUCAGAAAGCCACGGCUAACUACGUGCCAGCAGCCGCGGUAAUACGUAGGUGGCAAGCGUUAUCCGGGAAUUAUUGGGCGUAAAGCGCGCGUAGGCGGUUUCUUAAGUCUGAUGUGAAAGCCCACGGCUCAACCGUGGAGGGUCAUUGGAAACUGGGAAACUUGAGUGCAGAAGAGGAAAGUGGAAUUCCAUGUGUAGCGGUGAAAUGCGCAGAGAUAUGGAGGAACACCAGUGGCGAAGGCGACUUUCUGGUCUGUAACUGACGCUGAUGUGCGAAAGCGUGGGGAUCAAAACAGGAUUAGAUACCCUGGUAGUCCACGCCGUAAACGAUGAGUGCUAAGUGUUAGGGGGUUUCCGCCCCUUAGUGCUGCAGCUAACGCAUUAAGCACUCCGCCUGGGGAGUACGACCGCAAGGUUGAAACUCAAAGGAAUUGACGGGGACCCGCACAAGCGGUGGAGCAUGUGGUUUAAUUCGACAGCAACGCGAAGAACCUUACCAAAUCUUGACAUCCUUUGAAAACUCUAGAGAUAGAGCCUUCCCCUUCGGGGGACAAAGUGACAGGUGGUGCAUGGUUGUCGUCAGCUCGUGUCGUGAGAUGUUGGGUUAAGUCCCGCAACGAGCGCAACCCUUAAGCUUAGUUGCCAUCAUUAAGUUGGGCACUCUAGGUUGACUGCCGGUGACAAACCGGAGGAAGGUGGGGAUGACGUCAAAUCAUCAUGCCCCUUAUGAUUUGGGCUACACACGUGCUACAAUGGACAAUACAAAGGGCAGCUAAACCGCGAGGUCAUGCAAAUCCCAUAAAGUUGUUCUCAGUUCGGAUUGUAGUCUGCAACUCGACUACAUGAAGCUGGAAUCGCUAGUAAUCGUAGAUCAGCAUGCUACGGUGAAUACGUUCCCGGGUCUUGUACACACCGCCCGUCACACCACGAGAGUUUGUAACACCCGAAGCCGGUGGAGUAACCAUUUAUGGAGCUAGCCGUCGAAGGUGGGACAAAU
rnacentral:rRNA from 1 species